rnacentral:rRNA from 1 species
GAUGAACGCUGACAGAAUGCUUAACACAUGCAAGUCUUUGGCGAAGCUGUGCUUGCACAGCCUAGCCAAGGCGGACGGGUGAGUAACGCGUAAGGAACUUGCCCUGCAGUCAGGGAUAACAGACGGAAACGACUGAUAAGACCUGGUAAAGUCAGGCGGACUCAUGUCCAGCCUGAUGAAAAGAGAUGCUGCAGGAGAGCCUUGCGUCCUAUUAGCUUGUUGGUGGGGUAAUGGCCCACCAAGGCGAUGAUAGGUAGCCGGCCUGAGAGGGUGGACGGCCACAAGGGGACUGAGAUACGGCCCUUACUCCUACUGGAGGCAGCAGUGGGGAAUAUUGGACAAUGGGGGCAACCCUGAUCCAGCAAUUCUGUGUGCACGAUGAAGGUUUUCGGAUUGUAAAGUGCUUUCAGCAGGGAAGAAAAAAAUGACGGUACCUGCAGAAGAAGCGACGGCUAAAUACGUG